GGCCUACGGGACGCAGCAGUGGGGAAUAUUGCACAAUGGGGGGAACCCUGAUGCAGCGACGCCGCGUGAGCGAAGAAGUAUCUCGGUAUGUAAAGCUCUAUCAGCAGGGAAGAAAAUGACGGUACCUGACUAAGAAGCUCCGGCUAAAUACGUGCCAGCAGCCGCGGUAAUACGUAUGGAGCAAGCGUUAUCCGGAUUUACUGGGGGUAAAGGGAGCGCAGGCGGCGCGCCAAGUCUGGUGUGAAACACCGGGGCUCACCCCCGGGAGUGCAUUGGAAACUGUCGGGCUGGAGUGUGGGGGGGGG
rnacentral:rRNA from 1 species